UGGGCUUUGGUGACCUCGACAGGUUGCGGCAUCCCAGGUACGAGGAUGGGCUCGAAAUCAUCGGUUAUGCGGUCGUAGAUCCCGUGUUGUAACAUGAGAAUGAAGCAUAGAAGGACGAAGCAAGAAGGACCGUGAAAGAUGAACCGUGGCAUCCGGAACUCACGAGCGACAUCUGCCGUCCAUGGGUUGCACGAGUCGGUGAUCAUGCACGCGGGACGGGGCCAUUGCGCUUGCACGUACCGGGCCAGGGGUUCUCUAAGCCGGCUUGUGGCUUCCAAAAAUGUCUUUAAAUAGUCGUUUGAAGGGAGGAGAUCCAUAUUCUCGCAACCCUCCGGAAGACCAGCUUCGGUGCAAGGAAAUUGGAGCUCGACAAAGUCGAUCGGAAGCCCAGAUUCCUUCGCUCGGUCGAUGAUGUCCUUGAUUCGUGCAGCGUUCACUGGGGUGGUGAUGAGGCUGACCCGGGCACCUUGUUCCGCAAGUAAACGAGCCAUGUCGACCAUGGGGAUCAUGUGCCCUUGGGCUAUCAGUGGGACCAGGAUGAAGUGAGGCUUGUCAUUCAUGGUAGCUUGGUUGGUCACCCUAAAUGGAGGAACUGACGCAAAUCUCUUACGAAAGCUUGGUUGGUCAAGCUACAGAUGAGAAAAAAAAGGGAGAGAAAAGCCAGUAUUUAUAUGUGAGAGCGCAUCAUCCUUGCCAGCAAAUCUGCUUUACCAAUUAUACAUACUGAAUCCAUGAGCUUUACUCCUAUUCCAAAGGAAAUAAAUAGCAGCGUAGAAGAACAUAAAUUAGGAGAUCCAUCUCCUUAUGGUUAAGAAAACAAGAAAUAGCAUCCAAAGAAACUAAUCAUGACAUAUUUCUUCUUUAUGAAGAAUAAAAGAAAUAAUGGCACACAAUGAAACAGGUCAUGGUAUAUAUCUCUUUAUGACGAAGGAAAUGAAUAAUAGCACGCAAAAUGCAAUACAAUUGCAGGAAGAAAGAGAUGCUCCAAUUUUUUUUUGGUCUCCCCAAUUGCUUAAAUUGCCACGGACUGACACUACAAUUGCAGGAAGAAAGAGAUGCUUCAAUUUUUUUUUGGUCUCCUACUAAACAUAUAAUAUUCAUGUGUGGGUAACAUAAAAGUAAAAAAACUAAUUUCUUAUGUUCAAAAACUAAUUCUUCCUACCAUUAAAUUUCUUCUAUGCAUGCACGGAUUUCCAUAUUAAUAAAAAAAUUCCUUUUAUGUUUUUGUGCAUGGAAAUAAUUGAUUUUUUUUCUUUUAUGUUCUUGAAUUUUAUUUUAGGUACGUGCAUUACAAUUUCUUUUCAGUGGAACGUUUUUGUGCAUACAAAUUACUAGAAAAUUAAUUUUCUUUUUAUGUGAUUCUUUUGUGUGUAUGAAUUCGCUUUAUGUUAGGAAAACUAGUUUUUCGACAAUUGAAUUUCCUGUAGUGUGGAUUUCUAUAUUAAUGGAAAUUUUCUUUUUUAUUUUUGUGCAUGGGAAUGAUUCAAUUUUCCUUUUAUGUUCUAUUUUCUCUGCGUUAUACGUGCCUUUCUUUUUAUGUGCCCGGGAUGCAAAAUUUCAUAAAUUCCUUUUUAACACGACUUCCAAAAAUAUCGACAUUCUUUAGAAAAUAUCAUGAACAGAUUAUCUGUUCCUUUUUUUGGCAUAGAAUUUUUGGAACAAAUAAAGAAAGGAAUAAUAGAUAAUAGAAGGAAUAAUAGAAUAAUAGCUUCGAUUGCUACGAUCUAACACACAGGAAGAAAGAGAUGGGAUAUUUUUUCGGUCUCCUACUAAAUCUUAUAAUAGUCAUAUAUAUGAGUGACAUAAAAGUAAAAAAAACUUUCUUUUUAUGUUAAAAAAACAAGUUUUUCACAGGGUUGAAUUUCUUAUGUGCGUGAUUUUUCUUUUAUGUUUUUAUGCAUGGGAAAGAUUGAAUAUAUGCUUUUAUGGUUUUGAACGAUUUUUUUUUUUGAGUAGAUUUGCGAAUACAAAAUUAAUUAAAAAAAACUAAUUUUCCUUUUGUGUGUCAUUUUUUUGUGUAUUUGAGUCAAAAAAAAAAAAACCUUAUUCAUGUGGGCAAUAUAAGAGGAAAAGGUAAUUUUUCUUUAAUGUUAAAAAACUAAUUGUAUUCUAGUUACCAUUGAUAUUCAUAUAUAUGUGUGCGUGGAUUUCUACGUUAAUAGAAAAUGUUUUCUUUUAUGUAUGUUUUUGUGCAUGGAAACGAUUGAAUAUUUCCUUUUAUGUUCUAUCUUCCUUGCAUUGUGCAUGGGUUGCAAAAUUCCAAAAAUGAUUUUUGAAAAUAACUUCCAAAGAUAUCAAUUUCUUCUAUGAAUUUCUUUCUAAUUUUUCUGAAUUUUAGAUUUUACAUUUUAUGUUCUAUUUUUCCUGUGCUGGGUGUGUGCGUGCGUGUGUGUUUUUUUUUUUUUGGUGAGAUUGGGAUUGAAAAUUUCAAAAAUCACGUCUUAACACGACUUCCAUGUCUAACACAUUCAUCACUUUUGACUAACUUUUUGGACAGCUUCUCUCUUUUGAACUCAUGCUGCAAUCUUAUGCUAAAAGCCUAAAACCUACCCUCAACAACAUCCCUUACAGUCUUUGUUGCCCGACAAAAUCUUUCUGAUUCUUUGUAAGAUUGUGGCAAUACUCGUGGAGGUUUUAAUCAAAAUCAAUGUUAUAUUUCAAAGAACAAUCAAUCCUGAUUGUUUAAUAACAGUCCUUAAAUUCCACACCUUUUCCAGGUAGCCCAAAAGAUGCUCUUAGAACUAUUACUGUCAUUAUAGGUAGAACAACUUGGCAACAAACUCUACCGAUGGACCUCUGUUCGAGAAAUUAUUGGCUACACUGCAUGCACCAUGCCUACAGUCAAUUAUGGCUGCUGGAUUUUUUUAUGAUGUGUCGAGAUGAGUGCUUAAUGAAUGAAGUCUAUAAAAACCAGCUGUCAUAAUUAGCUACAUACACAGUACAAACAAUAAUUUCUCAUCUACAUGGCCUAGUUUUAUAGGGUGACAAGACUAGGCCAGACUAGGGGUGCAAAUGGGUUGAGUCGGGUCGGGUCGAAUCCGAGUCGGUUCCGGAGUCGGGUCGAGUUCGGAUCCAAAUUGAGGCCAAUUUUUUUGUGCUUUUGGAAAAAAAUUUGGGCAAAUCUAAUUUGGUCAUAUCAUAAUUAUGAGUUGCUGGGUGACCCAUGACUUGAAAGACUUGCAAUUGACCUCCAGUCAGAACAAAUGACCCCUGACUAAGUCGGUCUACAAGCCAAAUUUCAUAUCACACUAUUUUUUGUCCAUAUGAAUGAUUGGACGGAACUUGGUGUCUCCCGGCUCCCCCCUCACGAGGACAAAAAAAAUCCCAGACCUUCUUCCAAAAUCCAAUUCCAUUGCAGAAAACUGGCACAUGACCCAUAUUCAGUUCGGUGUUCCCUCGCUUCCUCCCUGCAAAAGUUUAAAAAAAACAGAAACCGAAAAACAGAAGGAAAAAAAAAAAAAGCCUGAUACCAAGACACCAAAGGUAUCAACAGUGUAAUAGACCGAGAGAGAAUUCUCACGGACCAAUAGUGCCACGACCCACAUGAAAAAAAGAAAAAUAAAACUGUCUUUUGCUUUUUCCCUCUCUUUCUUUCUCUCUUCGGAUCUAUUCAGGUCGGGCCGGAUUGUACCCAGACUCGACCCAGAAAAUGAAUCGGAUCCAAUUUAAUUAGGACCCGAUCCGGACCUGCGGAUCCUAAAAUUCGGGUCGGAUUGGAUCUAUACGGGUCGGGCCGGGUCGGGUCUCGGAUCGACCCAACCUAUUUGCAGCCCUAGGCCAGACGUGAGACUUCUCUGAUUUGUUUGAUUGUUUUAGGAAAACUGUUGCUUGCUUUUAGCUCCAUAGUUUGAUGAUGACUGAUCCGUCCUCUUAAAAGAUUUCGAUAGGUUCUGAUGUACGCAUCAAUCCGACUUAAAACUGAUAUCAAUCCAGCUGAGAAAUUAGAAGCCAGAUGUACGGUGAUCAGCGCAGAAAUAAAAAUUUAAUUACAAUGAGGAAAUGGUCAAAGUGCAAGCUAUGAUCUGUUCAAGACCAGGUCUGGUUGUGCAAAAUAAAUUACUAUUACAUAUUUUCGAUACAUUCAACGUUCCCCUUGGACGAACAAAUCUACGCACUGUGUUCCUCUUCUUGAUCAGAAUCGUCGUUUCCAUGCUUCAAGGCAUACUGAAUCAGGCAUGCUAUGUUCUCUAGGGACGACCCUCCUCCUUCCAUUGCGCUCACAGCCUUUUCAGCCAGCUUCCUGGCCCUCUUUCUUCUAUCUUCCCCCUCCUCCCCUUUGUCCAUAAGCCUAGAGACUGCCUUCUCUAUGUCGUCCCUCUUCGCUGCCGGCGGACUAUCUUCAUUGAUAUAGUAGAUGGGAACUUUCACCCCAAUUGCCACGCCAACGCCCAGCACAUCCACAACCAGCUUCUCGUUGACGAAUUGGUCCGCAAAACAAGGCCAUGUCAUCAUUGGCACGCCCGCGGACACGGCCUCCAGUAUCGAGUUCCAUCCGCAGUGUGUCAUAAAUCCUCCGAUGGCAGGGUGAGACAGGAUGACCACCUGCGGCGCCCACCCCUUAAUUACAAGACCCCUGGUGCUUACCCUCUCUUCGAAUCCCUCCGACAGCCAUUUGUCCACCUCCGGGGUCCUCUCGACGUCCUUGAUCACCCAGAUGAAGGGCUGGUUGGAUGCCUCCAAACCGUACCCCACUUCAAAGAGCUCCCAAGGGCGCAUCCGCACAAGGCUGCCAAAGCUAGCGUAGAGCACGGACUUGGGCUUCCUCGAAUCGAGCCAACAUAGAACUCGGUGGUGGUCGAUAACAGGCUUGUUCCCUCUGGCAGCCUUGUUGUCAAGAUCCUUAUUGUAGAGACACAAGGGCCCGAUGGUCCAUACCUCCUUUCCUGUAACCUUCUUGUAGAGCUCGAUAUAUGAAUGCUCCAUAUCAUCAAAAGUGUUCAUCACCACCCCGUCCGCCGUCGACUCCGCUUCUAAAACCUCAGAUCGAAGCUUUUCCCACCCUUUUGACCCGAAGAAGCCCGGUAACUGGGCUUUGGUGACCUCGACAGGUUGCGGCAGCUCAGGUAGGAGAACGGGCUCGAAAUCAUCGGUUAUGCGGUCGUAGAUCCCGUGCUGCUGCAUGAGAUGGGCGCAUAGAAUGAAGAAGCAAGAGGGCCCAUGAAAGAUGAGCCGUGGCAUCCCAAGCUCGCGAGCGACAUCCGCCGUCCAUGGGUUGCACAUGUCGGCGAUCAUGCAUGUUGGACGAGGCCGUUGUGCUCGCAGGUACCGGGCUAGAGGUUCUCGGAGCCGGGGGAUGGCAUCGAAAAUUGUUCUGAAGUAGUCGUUUGAAGGGAGGAGAUCCACAUUCUCGCAACCAUCCGGUAGGCCAGCUUCGGCACAAGGGAACUGGAGCUCGACAAAGUGUAUCGGGAGACCGGAUUCCUUCACUCGGUCGACGAUGGCCUUGAUUCGUGCGGCGUUCACUGGGGUGGUGAUGAAGCUGACCCGGGCACCUUGUUCCGCGAGUAAACGAGCCAAGUCGACCAUGGGGAUCAUGUGCCCUUGGGCUAUCAGUGGGACCAAGAUGAAGUGAGGCUUGCGACUGCUGAGACCAUUCGUGGAAGCUUGGUUGGUCAUCCUAAAUGGAGGAACGGAUGCGAGUCUCCAAAGAAAGCGCAGAGGUGUAGCUGUGGAAGCUAUCAAGGAAGCGACUCUGAUGGAGAAGCCACAGAUUAGAAAGCAGAGGAAGAGGAGCCAGCAUUUAUCUGGAACCUUGGAUUCCUUGCAGUUGGUAUUAUUUAUUAUUUUUGGUAUUGCUCGAAAGUAAAAUUGACCGGGAAAUCCCAUGAAUUGUGGGCCAGGCUUCUAGAUCAAGCCUCAACUCAUGACGUGAGCCCCUACAUGAGCUAACUUGUUUUGAAGCUAAAUCUGGUGGCGGUGAUCUCCCCCUGAAAAAAAAAGAAUAUGGCAGUGGUGAUCGGCAAACAAUCGUGCGACAGACAAAUCCUACAUCUUAGAUGGCUCCCAAUAAUUUUAUUUAAAAAAUAAAAUUUAUAAAGCUGCGGCCUACUUACUGGAAACGAGUGGAAGUAUCUAUUUUCGUAUUGGAUUGGAUUCAGCUAUUAUUUUUUUUGGUCCAAUCAAAUUCGAAUACGAAUUCAAAUAGUCAAUUUAAAAAUUAUCCGAAUAAGAAUAUGAAUGAAGAUACAUCUAUUUUUUUCGAAUUCGAAUCUGAAUCCGAAUAUCCGCAUAACAAAAAUAAGUGAAAAAAAAUAAAUUAAGUUAAAUGAGGGAACUAAAUAAAUGAAUAGCCAAAUCUAAACUAAACGAACAUAGAUAUCAGGCCACCACCACUUAAAACAGUAAUUCAAAUAUAGAAAUAUUAAUAUCCUAUCCAUUCUUGGGGUUGGCUACUGUAAUGCGGGACCACUUGUAUCGCCUGGCGCAGUUCUUACGUUGCUCCGCGAGGUCACGACACCAGCAGAGAGAGGGGGACAGGAAAUGCGUGCCCGGGCGCUGCUCCUUUUUGGCUGCACCAUUGUUCGUGAUGGAAAAAGCUACAAAUCACCCGUUGCUGACCACCGUUCGGUUCUUUGGGAAAUACGGAAACCGGUGAGGAGCUGAGCUUGGGGCCGGUGGGCAGGCACAUCUAACAUCACCAAUCCCAUCGUAUACGGCUUCAAGCCAAAAUUCUUGUCCCUCAUAUCUUGAAGUGAGCAAUGGCCACCAAUAGCAACUAUUAUUUAUUUAUUUAUUAAUAUAUAUUUUAAAAAAUAAUGUCAAUGUUUUAAAUCUUGGGGUUUCAAAAAACUAUUCCUUGGAUAAUAAGAUACCAACUAUGUUUUAAAACAGGACGGAGCAACUUUUGCUAUCAGAGACCAUGGUGCUAGGUUGAUUGCGGCAGUGGGGUAUCGUUCCUUUGAGGUCUCGGCUUUUGAAAAGGAGCUCGGGAUAGCAUAGAAGGGGCUUUCCUAUGCGAGACAUGUUUUGCAGGCUAGUUGUAUCAUUCUGAAGAAGGACUCAGCCUUGUUGAUCAUGCGUAUUUGGAAAAAGAGAUGGGAGGAGGUGGAGCACCCGCUUCUAGACGAUAUGCUAUGCAUGUUACGGAAGUGCCGGACUAUCCAAGUCAGACAUGUCUUUCGAGAGACGAACAAAGUUGCUGACUGAGUCGUCUCAUUUGCUGCUCACUAUUUGAGAGAAUUUUUCUGGACUCAGCAGUUCUCAUUUUUUUUUGCUUUGUGUAGUCUUUUUGCUUCUGAUAUAGUUGGUUGUACUCAUCUUAGAGCAUACAGCGCAGCUAAUGCACCAAAAAAAUAAAAAUAAAAAAUAAAAAAUAAAAAAAAGCUGGCAAUAUAAGAUAAAAUUAUCUUGUCAAUGGAGGGUCCACGUCACACGGACAUCAUUAAAGCCGCAUUGACGAAGUCGAGAUACACCCGCCGCAUUGACGAAGUCGUUAUAUACCCACAGCAAUGAUGCGUAUAAAAUCUAGAGACGGCCUCUUGAGAGAGAAAGCGAAAUUUCGAACAAUAAUGUAGUGGAUGAUUGGAAAGGUAAGAACCAUCUAAUCUAAUCUAAUCCAAUCCAAUCCAAUCCAAUGACUUGCAAGUGGACUUGAUGCAUGACUGUAAGCCCAUGGACAUCCAUUCCAAUCCAAAGGUGCAUGAUUGGACUGCAGAUGGAAAACGUAAACAUAAAUUAUCUCUUUUUUGAGGGAAUAAAUAUAAAUUCUAAAUACACAUAUUCUAUAUGAGUCCUUUCAAUGUCGUUUCAAGAAGUUCCAGUGGUUUAUACUUGCUGCAACUCUUUGUGGUAGAUGUUAUCUUCUAUUUUCGGUUCAAUAAAAACUAAAAGAACAAGUUCUGUUAUUUGUCAAGGUCGAUGUAAUCCGAGAUUGCUCGUUCCCAUGCUUCGACUUAAUUGGUAGUUGGAUGGAUGGCACAACCAUUUGAGAAACCCUCUUUUCGUUGCUUCUCCGGAUCUGUAACUCACCCUAAGGGCUAAGACAUCCAUAUCUGAGUCAUUUAUAAAGCCGAGAAUGGUCUAUUUGGAAAGAUGGAAGAUUGAUUAGUUCUAGCAAAAUUGAAAAGAUGAAAAAUGUGAUAAAAGAAAUGUCAGGUGAUGGUUAAAUUAUAUUAUAGUAUUAAUUGGUCUACCCCACUUAUGCUAACGUUGUGGUCCGGCCCAAUACACUUGGAGGCUUAAGGCGAACUUACUGAAGGAAGCUUUUUUUUUAUUUAAAUGAUGAAAAAUUUUAAUAAGUGUAAAAUACUUUAAAAUUUCUUUUGCUGCCUAUGUUAUCUUGGCAAUUUCUUUCUCUAGACUCUAUGAUUAUCUUAGAGUUUUUCUUUAGCAAUUUUGGUAGGAUUUAGGUGAUUUUAGCAGCAGCAUGUGCCUAGACACCAUUGAUAAUUGAUAUAUUAGCAGAGUGGCUCUAACACUCAUUACCACACUAAGAUUAAACCACACAAAUCUCUAUUUCUUCUUAUGAUAUUUUUGUUAGCCUAGAUGCACAAAUAUAAUUGAUAAAUCAAUAAUUAAAUGUUUCUAAUAUUCAGAAACAGUAAAUAAGAAGAAUAAACCAGCAAAUAAUUAACUUGAUAAUAGAAUAAUGAAAUGAAGAAAUGAAAGAAAAUGGCCUGUGGAUUGAAGCAUGCUGACGCAUUGUCUCAGAAAAGUUUAUACCCCCACGUAGAGAUCCGCUGGCACAGAUCUCCUAGAGAUAUGACGACCAAUAUAGAACCACGUUUUUUCCGUCAUUGCGUCUCCAGAGAAGAAAGAAGAACACGUUCACGCUUGCAGAUAGCUCAAAAAAAGCUCAAAAAAUUUAUUGAAAUUAUGAGAAGAAGAAAAAUUUUCUUUAUUUAUUUUCUUCCCAAUGAUCCCUAGAGCCCUUUUUAUAUAUGCCUUUGAAAUAGGGAGAAGAGAAAUUUUUCAUUGUAUUUGAAAUAAUCUCUAGAGCCCUUUAUAUAGGCUCAGGCGCGUCAAAAGAAGCAAACUCUCUUUCCACGGAUUGAUGACGUGUUUUUUUGUGCUCCUUUGAUCGUGAGGCAUAUUGCAUCUUGGCCGCCCAUGCUUCCUUCCUUUUUCAGGAGGCCUUCCAUGCUUGCUCUUGUGCGUGGAUGCAUGACACUUGUCUUGGCCUGCUUUCUUUGGAGAUCUUUCCAUGUUUGCUCUCUUGUUUGUGCGCGGAUGCUUGCCACUUGACCGUUGACCAAGUCAAAUGGUUGGCCGCGGCUUGCUUUGUUUGGCAUGCGGUUUUCAAAUUUUAAAAUAUUUAAUUUAAAUCAACAAUCCCCUACAUAAAUUAAAUAUUUAAAAAAUUAAAAAUUAAAAUAAAUUUAAAAAAUCAAAGUAAAAUAUUGAGUAUCUUAUAUUAUGUAAUAUAUGUAGGUACCUUUCGGUUUGAACUUUUACUUAGUGAUAAUUGAUUACCUCUGUGGAGCCAAGAUAGACUAUGCCUUGAACCUUGAUCCAUGACUCAGAUUUCAUCAACAGCACACAUAAUAUAGCGUGAACAAUGUUCAAAGCGGGUUUGCACUUUACGGCUAUGCGCAAGUAUCUCUUUAUGUGUUAUUAGGAAACAACCCACUUUCUACAGUCGCGGCCUCACGACUACAUAUAUAUAGGUGAAAAAGGGUACGAGCAAGUAGAUACUUUGCCUCAUGGGUUUCGGAUUCAUUAAGAGUAAAAACUCAACCUAAAUCUUGCUUUUUAUGAGCAUUGUUGCCCUAGUAAUGGAAAAACCAAAUAGUGCUCCUCAUUAGUCACCUAUCUAGCUUGUGUAUACCCAUUGAACCUUUUCAGGUUGGAUUACCACCGUGGUGACUUUACUUAUGGGCUUAGCCCCAUCUUUCUUGACAACUCUAGAACCAUUGUUCUAGAUAAUUUUUUAGUAAGCUGAUCAGCUAGAUUUCUUUCGGAUCUUACAAAAUUUAGUACAAUCAAGUUAUUCUUUAAUUUGUAUCUCAAUGAUUUAUAGCGCACUUUCAAGUAUCUAUUCAUUUUUACAUUUGUAUUUUCUUGAUUGCAUUUAUUUAUAGUAGAUCUGCAGUCACAAUGAACAGAUAUAGAAGGUAAUGGUAAAGACACGAGAGGUAAAUCUACUAGUAGAUCUCUAAGCUACUCGGCCUCAAUACUAGUGGUAUCUAGGGCAAUCAUUUCAGAUUUCAUGGUGCUCCUAGCCACUACAGUUUAUUUGAUAAACUUCUAUACAGUUGCACCUCCUAAAAGAAAGACAAAACUAGUGGUGGUUUUGGUGCCAACUUUAUCACCGAUCCAAUUGGCAUCACUAUAGCCUUUUAGAACAACAGGAUAACCACAAUAGUGUGAUCACAAAAAUAUGGUACCCUUAAGGUACUGGAGAAUUCUUUCUAGAGAAGUUCAAUGAUCAUUAUUAGGAUUGUGAGUAUAUCUACUCAGUCGGUUCAUAGAGUAUGCAAUAUGAAGCCUAGUAUAAUUUAUAAGAAACCCUAGAGAAUCAAUGAUCUGGGCAUACAAGCUUUGAUUGACUGGAUCAUCUAAGUUCUUCUUUAGAUGAAGAGAUGGAUUAUGGGAAGUAGAUACAGGAUGACAAUCAGGAUAGUAAAACUUUUUAAGAAUCUUCUCCAUAUAGUAGCUUUGGGAUAAAGUUAUUCCAUCUUCAUUCCUUAUGAUUUUAUUAUUUAGGAUUAGGUCUACUUCUCCAAAAUCUUUCAUGUCAAAUUUUAGAGAUAAAAAUUGUUUUACUUCAUUAAUUAUUUCUAAAUAUGUUCUAAAAAUUAGGAUAUCAUCUACAUAUGACAUAAGAUUAUAAUUUUGUUAUUCUUCUUUUUAAAAUAUAUACAUUCAUCUGUGUUAUUAAUUUAAAUUCAUUAGUUAGGAUUAUUUCAUCAAAUUUAAGGUGUCAUUUUUUGGGGGCUUGUUUUAAACCAUAAAGAGAUCUAAUCAACCUACAUAGCUUUUUCUCUUGACCUGGUACAAUGAAAUCUUCGGGUUGGUCCAUGUAGAUCUCUUCAUCUAGAUCUUCAUUCAAGAAAGCGGUUUUAACAUCCAUUUGAUGUAUAACCAGCUUAUGAAUAGAAUUCAAGGCAACAAGGAUUCUAACGGUAGUGAUUCUUGCUAUAGGGGCAUAAACAUCAAAGAAGUCAAUCCCAGAUUUUUGAGUAAAAUUUUUGGCUACUAACCUAGCCUUGUAUUUGUCUACAGUUCCAUCUGGCCUAAGUUUCUUCUUAAAGAUCCAUUUACACCCAAUUGGUUUACUUCCUGGGAGUAAGUUUGCCAAUUCUCAAGUGUAGUUUUGCACUAUGGAUUGCAUUUCAUUAUCUUUUUUUUUCUUCAAAAGGGGACAUCUAAAGAUUUCAAGGCAUUCUCUAAAGAAGUAGGAGAGUCUUCUAUUAGGAAUGUGUAGUAGUCUUCUUCAACUUUAGUUCUUUUACUUCUUCUAAAUUCAGUUUCUUUUUCUUCUUCCUCUCCAAAUCUAGUUCUGCUUGAACUAGUCCCUAGAUUAUUAUUGGUAUUUAUUUGAUCAUUUAUCUUUGUUUUAAAGGGAAAUAUACUUUUAAAGUGGAUUGCAUCUUUUGCUUCUGUUAUGGUGUUGUUAUUAAUUUUAUUUAUUUGAGAGUUAAAACACUAAUAUUUUCCUUGCAUUGUGCAUGGGAUGGAAAAUUCUAAAAAUUACUUUUGAAAAUAACUUUCAAAGAUAUCAAUUUCUUCGAUGAAUUUCUUUCUAAUUUUUCUAAAUUUUAGAUUUUACAUUUUCUGUUCUAUUUUUCCUGUGUUGGGUGUGUGCGUGCGUGUUUUUUUUUUUUUUUUGAUUAACUUUUUUGGACAGCUUCUCUCUUUGGAACUCAUGCUGCAAUUUUAUGCUAAAAGCCUAAAACCUACCCUCAACAACAUUCCUUACAGUCUUUGGUGCCCGACGUAAUCUUUCUGAUUAUUUGUAAGAUCGUGGCAAUACUCGUGGAGGUUUUAAUCAAAAUCAAUGUUAUAUUUCAAAGAACAAUCAAGACAACCAAUCCUGAUUAUUUAAUAACAGUCACCAAAUUUUGNNNNNNNNNNNNNNNNNNNNNNNNNNNNNNNNNNNNNNNNNNNNNNNNNNNNNNNNNNNNNNNNNNNNNNNNNNNNNNNNNNNNNNNNNNNNNNNNNNNNNNNNNNNNNNNNNNNNNNNNNNNNNNNNNNNNNNNNNNNNNNNNNNNNNNNNNNNNNNNNNNNNNNNNNNNNNNNNNNNNNNNNNNNNNNNNNNNNNNNNNNNNNNNNNNNNNNNNNNNNNNNNNNNNNNNNNNNNNNNNNNNNNNNNNNNNNNNNNNNNNNNNNNNNNNNNNNNNNNNNNNNNNNNNNNNNNNNNNNNNNNNNNNNNNNNNNNNNNNNNNNNNNNNNNNNNNNNNNNNNNNNNNNNNNNNNNNNNNNNNNNNNNNNNNNNNNNNNNNNNNNNNNNNNNNNNNNNNNNNNNNNNNNNNNNNNNUCAUAAAAGAUGGGUGCCCAAUUGGGUCGCUCUGAUGUGGACGUAGCACAUUGGCUGUGAUUGAAAUGUGGACCGGGACGAAUUGGAAGUUACAGAUCUGCAUGCGAGGGUUUUGUUGGUAGCGCCAUGAUCUCUGUGGACAUAAAAAGUUUGCGUGUCUUCUCGGUAGUCCUUAAAUUCCACACCUUUUCCAGAUGGUUCAUAAUAUGCUCUUAGAACUAUUACUAUCAUUAUAGGUAAAAAAACUUGGCAACAAACUCUCCGAUGGACCUCUGUCCGAGAAAUUAUUGGCUACACUGCAUACAUCAUGCCCGCAGUCAAUUACGAUGAAUUAAGAUGGGUACUUGAUGAACAGAGCUUAUAAAAAUUAGCGAUCGCAAUUAGCUACAUUUGCAACCAUGUGGUGCAUGCAGUACACGUAAUAAUUUUUUAUCUAUGUGACCAAUUUUUAUUGGGCGCGAAGACUAGGCCGGACGUGAGACUUGAUUUCUCUGAUUUGUUUGAUUGUUUUAGGAAUACUGUUGCUUGCUUUUUUAGCUCCAAAGUUUGAUGAUGGCUGAUCCGUCCUCUUAAAAGAUUUCAAUAGGCUCCGAUGGACACAUCAAUCCGACUUAAAAAUGAUAUCAAUCCAGCUGAGAAAUUAGAAGCCAGAUGUACGGUGAUCAACGCACCUGGAAGUAAAAAUUUCAUUACAAUGAGGAAUGGUCAAAUUGCAAGCUAUGAUCCGUUCCGACACCGCCUAGCCUGAACCGUACCAAAAUCAAGACCAGGUCAGGUUAUGCAAAAUAAAUUACUAUUAUAUAUUUUCGAUAUAUUUAGCGUUCCCCUUUGACGAACAAAUCUACGCACCGUGUUCCUCUUCUUGAUCAGAAUCGUCGUGUCCAUGCUUCAAGGCAUACUGAAUCAGGCAUGCUAUGUUCUCUAAGGACGACCCUCCUCCUUCCAUUGCGCUCACAGCCUUUUCAGCCAGCUUCCUGGCCCUCUUUCUUCUCUCUUCCCCCUCCUCCCCUUCGUCCAUAAGCCUAGAGACUGCCUUCCCUAUGUCGUUCCUCUUCGCUGCCGACGGACUAUCUUCACUGAUAUAGUAGAAGGGAACUUUCACCCCAAUUGCCACGCCAACGCCCAGCACAUCCGCAAUCAGCUUCUCGUUGACGAAUUGGUCCGCAAAACAAGGCCAUGUCAUCAUUGGCACGCCCGCGGACACGGCCUCCAGUAUCGAGUUCCAUCCGCAGUGUGUCAUAAAUCCUCCGAUGGCAGGGUGAGACAGGAUGACCACCCGCGGCGCCCACCCCUUAAUUACAAGACCCCUGGUGCUUACCCUCUCCUCGAAUCCCUCCAACAGCCAUUUGUCCACCUCCGGGUCCUCUCGACGUCCUUCAUCACCCAGAUGAAGGGCUGGUUGGAUGCCUCCAAACCGUACCCUACUUCAAUGAGCUCCCAAGGGCGCAUCCGCACAAGGCUGCCAAAGCUAGCGUAGAGCACGGACUUGGGAUUCCUCGAAUCGAGCCAACAUAGAACUCGGUGGUGGUCGAUAAUAGGCUUGUUCCCUCUGGCAGCCUUGUUGUCAAGAUCCUUAUUGUAGAGACACAAGGGCCCGAUAGUCCAUACCUCCUUUCCUGUAACCUUCUUGUAGAGCUCGAUAUAUGAAUGCUCCAUAUCAUCAAAAGUGUUCAUCACCACCCCGUCCGCCGUCGACUACGCUUCUAAAGCCUCAGAUCGAAGCUUUUCCCACCCUUUUGACCCGAAGAAGCCCGGUAACUGGGCUUUGGUGACCUCGACAGGUUGCGGCAGCUCAGGUAGGAGGACGGGCUCGAAAUCAUCGGUUAUGCGGUCGUAGAUCCCGUGCUGCUGCAUGAGAUGGGCGCAUAGAAUGAAGAAGCAAGAGGGCCCAUGAAAGAUGAGCCGUGGCAUCCCAAGCUCGCGAGCGACAUCCGCCGUCCAUGGGUUGCACUUGUCGGCGAUCAUGCAUGUUGGACGAGGCCGUUGUGCUCGCAGGUACCGGGCUAGAGGUUCUCGAAGCCGGGGGAUCGAUGGCAUCGACAAUUGUUCUGAAGUAGUCGUUUGAAGGGACGAGAUCCACAUUCUCGCAACCGUCCGGUAGGCCAGCUUCGGCGCAAGGGAACUGGAGCUCGACAAAGUGUAUCGGGAGACCGGAUUCCUUCACUCGGUCGACGAUGGCCUUGAUUCGUGCGGCGUUCACUGGGGUGGUGAUGAGGNNN
rnacentral:lncRNA from 1 species